rnacentral:rRNA from 1 species
UACGUAGGGUGCGAGCGUUAAUCGGAAUUACUGGGCGUAAAGCGUGCGCAGGCGGUUCGUUGUGUCGGCGGUGAAAGCCCCGGGCUCAACCUGGGACCUGCAUUUGUGACUGCAUCGCUAGAGUACGGCAGAGGGGGAUGGAAUUCCGCGUGUAGCGGUGGAAUGCGUAGAGAUCCGGAAGAACACCGGUGGCGAAGGCGGUCUGCUGGGCAGUUGCUGACACUGAGGCGCGACAGCGUGGGGGAGCAAACAGG